rnacentral:rRNA from 1 species
UACGAAGGGGGCUAGCGUUGCUCGGCAUCACAGGGCGUAAAGCGCACGUCGGCGGCUUCUUAAGUCAGGGGUGAAAUCCUGGGGCUCAACCCCAGAACUGCCCUUGAUACUGAGGAGCUUGAGUCCGGGAGAGGUGUGUGGAACUCCGAGUGUAGAGGUGAAAUUCGUAGAUAUUCGGAAGAACACCAGUGGCGAAGGCGCCUCACUGGCCCGGUACUGACGCUGAGGUGCGAAAGCGUGUGGAGCAAAUAGG